rnacentral:misc_RNA from 1 species
GGAACCCUUCACUCAUGACUAUAUAAUGCCUGCAACAUUAAUAUGGUCUACAGUUUAUGAAUUUUGCACAUUUGUGAAACCGAAUAAUAGUAAACGAAAGUGUGAAAAACUCAUCACGAAAACUAAACACACUACUUGUCUAAUUGUACAGUUAUCAUUCUGCUGCAGCAUCUUCCAUGCUUCCUUCAGUUUGUAUUUCAGGAAGAGUUUCCACAUCUGUGCGGACAUGUUUCUCUUCCAAGUGGGAGGACGAAUCAGAAGAAUCAAUCAGAUCAUCCCCCAAAUUCUCAACAAUUGAUGCAUCCACUUCUUCAUCAGUAAUUCCGGUUUCUUCACUGCCAGUAUCGGCCUUCUCAACCUCAGUUGCAUUGUUAUCAUUCAAAGGCAACCCUCCAUUAUCUACUGCUUCAGCAGUUGCAUUCCCUUGGACGACUUUUUCUGCCAGGGAAGGUUCCGUAUCACCAGACACAUUCGAGGAAUCGACCGGGAUUGAGUCUAACUCGUCGUUUUUAGAGGAAACUGUUAAAUUAGAAUCAAUUUGGUUAUCAUCCACCGUAUCUGCAGAGUUACUGCUUUGCUGACUAGUUGACAUGUUGGAAGACGUUGUAUCCCCUACUGUGGCAUUAGACUCUUGGUUAACUGCCUGGGUUCCAUUCUGUAGAAGUAAGUCAUGAGCCUGUGUGCUCAGUUCUGUCGAGUAGGUUCUCGAUUCAGAAUUCUCUGCCAAUCCUUCUGUUCUUGUGGAAUUUGAAAUUGAAGUGUCUGCAGCAGUGGAUAAGAUCGGGUCAUCAUGCUUCUCUUCACUGUUUGUUGUGUUUGGAGGACUGUCUUCUUCAUCUGCUUUACCAUUUUCCUCCUUCAAAACCACUGUUGUAUUUUGGCUGGUAUUGAUCUGCAUAAUGUUAUCAACACCAGCUUUACUCUUGGCUUCAGCAGAAUGUUCUACUUCUUGCUCUAACUUACCACUCUCAUUUUCAGUUGUAGUUACAACUGUAUCAUGAGUCACUGCACUUGAAGCAUCAUCUGCUUUAUAAUGUUCUUCACGUGCCUCAUGUGAACUGCUUGAGUCUUCAUCGUGAUCAUGUUCUUCCAAUGAAUUUUCUUCAUCCACCUGACUAUCAUUCACUUCAGCAUCUCUCUCUUCAGUUUCCUUCUCGUUAUCUUCUCCUCGUUCCCUGUCUUCAUCAACAGCAUCCAAUUCUGGAUCACGCUCUACAUCAGACUUCUCAUGAUCAUGAUCAUCGACCUCAUCUUCUGCAUCUUCCCGGUGUUCCUCAUUCUUCUCUUGAUCAUGAUCAUCGACCUCAUCUUCUGCAUCUUCCCGGUGUUCCUCAUUCUUCUCU